rnacentral:rRNA from 1 species
UGGGGAAUAUUGGACAAUGGGCGAAAGCCUGAUCCAGCCAUGCCGCGUGUGUGAAGAAGGUCUUCGGAUUGUAAAGCACUUUAAGUUGGGAGGAAGGGCAGUAAGCGAAUACCUUGCUGUUUUGACGUUACCGACAGAAUAAGCACCGGCUAACUCUGUGCCAGCAGCCGCGGUAAUACAGAGGGUGCAAGCGUUAAUCGGAAUUACUGGGCGUAAAGCGCGCGUAGGUGGUUCGUUAAGUUGAAUGUGAAAGCCCCGGGCUCAACCUGGGACCUGCAUCCAAAGCUGGCGAGCUAGAGUAGGGCAGAGGGUGGUGGAAUUUCCUGUGUAGCGGUGAAAUGCGUAGAUAUAGGAAGGAACACAAGUGGCGAAGGCGACAACCUGGGCUCAUACUGACACUGAGGUGCGAAAGCAUGGGGAGCAAACAGG